GUUGUAGUUCUGUAAGAUAAUGUUCUUCGUCAUAGAAAAAGCAUUCUCAAGCAUUCUCAAGAGUGAUGAGGCAUUACAUCUGUCCUACUCUUAAAGUAUUCAGGGAAAAAAUACACAUACAGCAGAGUUUUAAGAAUUGUGCUCCACCACAUGGACGGUGAUACUUUCUCCUGCAUCACCAUUGGGUCAUUGGCACAAAGAAGCAGAAAGCAGGAGCUUCUGGUUGCGUGGGAUCCCUGACGUCAGUUACGCGGCCGCAGAACUUGCAAGGGAGUCGAAGCCAUGUUUGUACCUCUGACUGAGGAAGGAUUGAAAUCGACAACUUGGAGUUUUCACAAACUGCAGAGAAGACAGGUUGCUUUCCUUGCCAUAAUCCCAUCAAUUUCCAAAGAGUACAAAAGUCCUUGAAGAAAGAAGCCUAUAGCUGUCAAAAAGAUGCAGGAGUCAUCUCAGGUGAAAUACUCAUUUGCAAGUCAGUAGAAAAUCAAAGCACUCUCAGAAAAUAGAAUCCAUGAGUGAUAUGGGGGAAAAAAAAAGAAAACAAAGUGGCCAAACUUUCCUCCAGAACCACAGAAUGUGAUAUAAUCUCAAAAAUCUGCAGGUGUUUGGCUAUCAUCCUAAAUAGCCCUGCCUCCUUUUCUAUAGCAGCUCUUAGAGAUUUUUUUUUUUUUUUUUUUUGCAAGUGAUAAGGAGCAGGGGAAGGUUGUCUCAGUUCAGCUUUCCAGCAGUUGUUUCAUAAUACCUCUCUGCCAACAUGCACAUUGUUCCCUCUUAUUCUUUCUAGUCAAAGAGAGACCACAGUACAGGCUUCAGAAGCCUUUGUGUUUCUCUGUUUUUAAAUUUGGGAACAGCUGUAUCCCUUGCAGGCUAUUAUAAAGAUGCUGCCAAUGGCUACUAAGGCGCAUAAAUAAAGUAUUGUCUACAUAGAAAAUAUCCA
rnacentral:lncRNA from 12 species